CGAGCGAUAUCAGUUACCAAACGACAAGACCCUGGUCAAAAGAUAACCGCCCCUUUUCAUUUUCGAUCAAAUCAAAAGAGGCUGGGGGACAAAUGUUGGACCCAAUUUUGGUCGAUACCAUAAUGGGCCGCGAUCAAAGGCAUGGGCCUUAAAGGGCCUGAGCAUAUAGCAAGAACACGAGCUCGAGGAAGAGUCGUCGAGGUCGCGGAGAUCGUGCAACAAGAGGCAAAGAUCUCGGAGCUACCACGGAGAUCUUGAAGUCGACUCACUAUAAAAGGAGAGGAAGAAACACAGAAGUGGAGGCAUCGAAAACCCUAGAGAGAGCUACACAUUUACUUCGAUCUUGUUGUCUUCCCAUUCUUAGAUUCUUUCUUGACCGAUCUCAUUUGUAUCACUCGAUCUAGUUCAAUUCAGUGUAUUCGAUCUUAGUCAUCAAUAAAAUCUAUUUUCACCUAUUGGAAACUAUUUAACAUCGUUGUGUUCUAAAAAUAUCGUUGCCUACAUCAUUUGUCUUCCCUAGAUCAAACCCCG
rnacentral:lncRNA from 1 species